rnacentral:rRNA from 1 species
AUGACGUCAAGUCGUAUGGCCCUUACGAGUAGGGCUACACACGUGCUACAAUGGCGUAAGCAAA